rnacentral:misc_RNA from 1 species
GAUGAAGAACGCAGCGAAAUGCGAUAAGUAAUGUGAAUUGCAGAAUUCAGUGAAUCAUCGAAUCUUUGAACGCACAUUGCGCCCCUUGGUAUUCCGAGGGGCAUGCCUGUUCGAGCGUCAUUAUAACCCCUCAAGCUCAGCUUGGUGUUGGGGCCUGCUGCACUGGCAGCCCUUAAAAUCAGUGGCGGCGCCAUCUGGCUCUAAGCGUAGUAAUUCUUCUCGCUAUGGAGUCCUGGUGGAUGCUUGCCAUCAACCCCCAAUUUUUCUAUGGUUGACCUCGAAUCAGGUAGGGAUACCCGCUGAACUUAAGCAUAUCAAUAAGCGGAGGA